rnacentral:lncRNA from 1 species
CAUAAAUACAUGGAAGCUUCUGUCUUUUAUGACUUUGAGAUCAAAAUGAAAGAGUCUGUUCACAAUUUGGGAACCUGUGGGCCAGAAUGUUUUAUCACUUGCUCAAUAUCAUAGGUAUCUAAUUAGUAGCAGAGGCAUGACAGAACUCAGUUCAGCUGCAUCUCAGUCCUGUUCUCUUUCCAUUACUACACUGCGGUUCCAUUCGUGUGAAUUUCUAUCUACCCUAUGUGUAAUUAUGCAAAUGAAACCUGCUAAAGCACUGCCUAGCACAUAGCAGGUUCUAAUAUUUAUUUGUCGAUUGAAUAAGUGUUCCAAUUAGUUCCAAGAUGCUUCCUGUAACUGCAGUUCUGUGGUCUAUACAUUUUCCCAGUUCUCUCCCCAUUCUGUUAUCAUUUUGAGACUUUACAUAGAUACGGACUAGGCAAAGGAAAAAGGAAACAGCAUGUCCUGUGUGGGGAAGCACUUUAUAAAGAUGAUAUUUAAGUAAUACAGACAUUAAUUAUUAUGCAAUGGAGAAUGCAAAUUCAAUGAAAGGGAGCAGGAUAAUGGUAGUUUUUCCUAGGUUUUCACUUAUGUCAGCCUGGAAAAAGUUGAGAAGUGCUGUAUUAAGCUAAUAGCCUGCACAAGCUUUUUCAGGAUAAAGAUAUAAUUAGCUAUUAAACCAUCAAAGAGUUGUUUAUGAAAAUAAAUAAAACAGCAGCAUGUCGCCU